rnacentral:rRNA from 1 species
GAUGAACGCUGGCGGUAUGCUUAACACAUGCAGGUCGAACGGGUGUCUUCGGACAUUAGUGGCGGACGGGUGAGUAACGCGUGAGAAUCUGGCUCUAGGUCGGGGACAACAGUUGGAAACGACUGCUAAUACCGGAUAUGCCGCAAGGUGAAAGAUUAAUUGCCUGGAGAUGAGCUCGCGUCCGAUUAGCUAGUUGGUGGGGUAAGAGCCUACCAAGGCGACGAUCGGUAGCUGGUCUGAGAGGACGAUCAGCCACACUGGGACUGAGACACGGCCCAGACUCCUACGGGAGGCAGCAGUGGGGAAUUUUCCGCAAUGGGCGAAAGCCUGACGGAGCAAUACCGCGUGAGGGAGGAAGGCUCUUGGGUUGUAAGCCUCUUUUCUGAAGGAAGAAAAAAAUGACGGUACUUCAGGAAUCAGCAUCGGCUAACUCCGUGCCAGCCGCCGCAGUAACAC